rnacentral:lncRNA from 1 species
UAUUUUCUUUUGUGAAAUUGCAUCCGGAUAUAUAAAAGAAGACUAAACACUUUGGUUUAAUUGCAACAUUGGAAUAAAAUUAUAAAAAAUAAAUUAUAUAAUAGUCCUGCAACAAAUACAUACAUGAAACUUUUUUCUACUACUAAUACUGCAAUAUAAGAUCCCAAAUUUUCACAUAUGAAUUAUAUGUUCUCGGUAAAAUCAUUAGCAAAAUUCCAUCUUCUUAAUAAUAGAUGAAGAAACAUAUACACCAGGAAUCAUAAAUAUAUUUGCCACCGAUCCAUUUACCAUUCAAGGUUGUAAGAUUUUGAUUUUGAUCCAAAAUCUUAUGCUUUUAAUCCCAUAAAGCUAAUUUAUCUCUUUCUAGUUUUGAUGGAUGGUCUAACACUUGCCCAUAAAAAUGCUUCAAAACAUUGUGUAUCAUUGUCUAGAUAGUUUCAAAGCGUCAAAAGAGCCUAUAUAAAAAAAAGUAACCUCAUUUAUCAUUUUGUCCUUACAUAUAAGAAAUUCUAUUCUAUUCUCAUUUUGUCAUUUAUCAUUAGAACAAAUUUGAAUAUUCACUUUUUGUAAUAUACACAAGUUAUCAAAAAGAUUUAUAGAAGAUUGAAAAAAACAAUUACUUGCGGAAUUCUCCACAUAUAACUGUGGGGAAUUCUCCACAUGGGGAAGUGUAUUUACGUCUUUCAACUGAAUCUGGAUUCAAAAUCUUCACACUGAACUCUAGUGUGACCUAUUGCAUUAAGCCGCCGCCUUUCUCUUGUAUUGUAUCAGCAACUUAUAAUAUGAUUACAGAUAUAAUAUAUUAUCAGCCUCAACGAAUAAUAUUCUUUUUGCAAUAUCCACAAGUUACCAAAAUUUAAACUUUUGGAAUGCUUCGAUGAAUUUUCAAAUUUUUGCAAUAUCCACAAACCACAAUCCAACGUACCAAAUUCAAUCAAAAAUGAAGGAUCUAAAUGGUCGAGAUAAGUCAAAAACUGAAAAUUCAACCUACCAAAUUCAUUAAACAGGGAAAUCACGGCUGAACAUAUCUUAGCAACACCAAAUAGUUGAUUUGCCUGAAAAAUCCACCCCACUUGGCAUUCGGAUCGAUUGAUUGAAUAAAACCGGAUCAUCAUGCAGAAUAUCAAUAUUGUAAGACCCAGAUUUAAGUUUCUUUGAGUACAAAUUGUGGUUUAACAGAUCCCUUAAAACAGCAAUAAUAUAAGACCGAUGCAAAAUCAUAUUGAUUCGGAAGAGAAUUAUGGAUGUACCUUUGGGCAGCCCAACAAUACGAGAACCUUAUUCAGAUCUAUUCCCUGGCAUCACCAUGGCAUCUCUUACCUUCCAGAAAAUAGAAUAGAAGCGUGCAGAGAUGAAGAAGAGAGAAGAAAGGUGUAGAGGCGGCUAUUGCAGACAGGCUAACUCUAUCUUUAUAUAGGUAUUAGAUUUGGUUCACGCUCAAUGCAG